UAAGCUCCGUUUGUUGAAGUUUCUCUUGCGGCAAUCAGAUUCUGACCCAAUCCUUUUGCAAGAUUUGGCUUUCUCUGUAUUUGUAUAAUCAUUAGUAAAGUCGAGAGGAAAGAAGAGAUUGCAUAGUAUACAGCUCGAGCCACCAUCCAUCUCCAUCAUCACUAUCCGAACUGAAAGAACAAAACUUGAAUAGCAGCACUUCCGAUUGAACAAACUGCUGGGAAUGGGACACUAGGGUGCUUCUCGGGGGAGCUAGAAAACUGCGGCAAAGGGGACACGUGGCAUGCUGAAACCCGGUCCACCGGUCCAAGCAUUGUUUAUGAAAGAGAUGAGCGCAUCUCAAUUUUCUAACCUCAUCUCCUUUCCUCAAUCUUGCAUAGACACACAGAACACUCCGCAGGACUCUCGUAGCUGGUCGACCCAGAAGGCUCAGGUUUGUAACGAGCUUAAGUGGCUGCAAAUUACAACCAUGUACUUCCACAUAAUCGAUUAUAAUUUGUACAAGAAAAAGAAAAAAAUUGAGUUGAUUUUAUUGAUUUGAAAAUGGGUGCAGUUUUGGGUGAGUUUCUGAGGACCAAAUCGAAAGGUACACUUAUAGGCUCGGGAGGCAUGGAGGAGAUUUAAUGAAGGCAAUAAUGUCACUCGACAUCGUCAUCACAGUGAGACAAUAAUUCAACCAAUAAAAAGACGGAGAAUUAAUGUGGCAAGUUUGUGUUGUGAUUAACAUGUCAUUGUGGACAUUUGGAUGAUCGUGUGGUUGUGGUACUGCGCACAUGGUUCACAUCUUUCUGUCACUGUUCGUAGACUCUACAUGGUACUGUGCACGUGGUUCACAAAAUAAAGGAAAAAUGGAAGAAUUUUAUUUUGAAAAGUCAUCAUCUUAUGGAAAGGAAGAAUUCAAAAGCAAAA